AGAAAAAACAGUCGAGAAAAAACACCUGAAAGAGGAAAAAGCUAAAGAAGCCCCAACAGUAAAAGAAACUCAGCGACAUCACAACCUGACAACAGAGAAGGUUUCCAAAGCUGCAAAAACAGCAAUUGACCAUGCUGGCCAUAGGAAUCAUUCUACAGAGACCUUGUCACAUCUACAUUUCUAAGAAGGAUAUACGGAAAUAAUUUCCAUUAAAAAAGAGAAAGCUCCUGUCCGAUACUUCCAAUGCGUCUUCCUUGAUGGGCAUAAUGGAUAUGGAUUGCAAUUCCCCAUUACUUCAGCCCCCAGCCACAAAGAAAAAUCUAGACAUUCAAAGGCUUCUAAGAGGAAGACAAAGGCACCAGGACAGUAGAGAGACUUAUAACCUGUGGAUUUUUCAGAUUUUGCACUUUACUUCUUCUACUGAGGUCCACCAACAUUACAAUGGACCUGUUAUUGUAAAGAUGUGAUUUACUAGAUAACCUAUACUUUGAGAAGAUUUUUUUACUAUUUUAUGAAUGGUUCAGAGGGAAAAGGAGUGGCUAUGAGCACUUCGACAAACAUAGAAAUUCAAAAAUACCCCAUUUCUUGUGGAAAUGGUGUGAUGUUGAAAUAGUUUGUCAAGUUGUGGGCACAUUUUGUUCCGCCACUUCUGCUUUGUAUCUCUCUCUCUUGCCUACCUGCUUGGUAUUAAACUGUGUCUGUUUUUCCAUUUACUCUUUAAAUGGUAAAAUGUGUGAAACUCUUAUUUCAGCAAGACCUUUUACAAGGCGACCUGUAAUCCUAAAUCAUUUCUUCUUCAUGUUCACUCAGAACUUGACAGGAAGAAGCCUCACCAAAGAAAAGAAACUGUGCUUCUUGUCUGGUGCUAUUUUUAUAUAUAAUUUACCAGUUUAAUUUGAAGCACAUAGCUUAUCUUUAAACAGCUCAGCAUGCUGGUGGUGAGGUUGACUAUCAAAAUCUCAUUAAUGACAACUAUUUACCUUCAACUCGAAGAUAAGCAAUAAAGAUCUGCUAUGUUUGUCCCAAAGCAUUUUCCAGAUGAUAACUGUUCACUUUCUAUGUCUCAAAAUGAGUGGAGGAAGUGAGGGAGGAUGGGACUCUUAAAAGAGGAGGUGAAGUAAAGAGGUAAAGCUAUGAAGGUCUCAGAAAUGGGAAAGAAAUCCUUCUGGUACCUCUACAUCUCUUCUUCGGAUAAAUUUCUUAUCAAGUCAGAUCUAUUUGCCGUGUACACUGUGCAGAUGGAUAGUACUGGAUAGUGCUAGAUUUAUUGUGAAGAAAAGUCAGAGGGGGAGCUAUAUUAAGAGACAUCACUUGUGAAACCAUGCAAAGCCAAAUGUGCAGGUAAACAUCUCAAUUUGAUUCAAUAUUUUUUUUAGCAUGGAGGAGGGGCUCAGAGAGUAAAAACAAACAGGAAAAAUGGUGUUUAAUUUUGGCAUAUAAUUUUGUUAGAUGAGAUGAAUGAGCUCCUCUAGCUACUAUCUGGCUUCCUUCAAAAUGCACUCUACUGUCCACUAUUCCUAGGUUGAGCACUCGAAGUAAACAUACCUGUCCUCAACUCCCUUUUUUUUAUUUCUUUAGACAGAGCCAAUUAUCAAGUAUAGAAAAGAGGAUAAGAUGAUCUUUGCUCUAUGUGAAAAUGCCUGAUUGUAAAUCAGGAUUGUGACUGUAAAUCAGGAUUGUGUUGUCUGGCAAUGUAAAUAAUAAUGCCUUUUUGCAAGCUGCUAUUUGUUUUCUUCUUUACUAUAUUUAUGGAUUUAAUCUGUGACAUGUACAGAUGUGAUCUCAAGUUUAUAGUUACUAGGUGAAGCAUCAUGAGAUUAUUACAUGGCAUAAUCUGGUUGCUCCUGUAACUAUAUAUUGCUUUUUUCAGCAAAAGCCAAGAUAAGUCUCAGUGCUGUAGUGGUUUUAUUUCAAUUGGAUGGGUUUCAGGUAACUAUGUCCUAGAUGGCAAUUCAGUAUGGGAUAUGGAUUUUUUAUUUAUUUUUUUUUACCUUCAGGUCACUGGGUCAGUAUGAAAGUGGCUGGAAGUCAUUACCCUCUGAUUGCUGUUCAGUGCCCUAUGUGAAAUGAGUUCUGGGUCUCAACACUCUCCAUAUAGGUGCCUACAUCAUAAAAUCCAUAGACAACCACCCUCCUUCACCACAGGCAACCUAAAUUGCAGUCUCUGCAGACAUGCAGAAGCUGAACCUCCCCUUUUUGCCCCUAGAGUGGUUCUUCCUGAUCAGGAAGGGGGCAAACUGAAAAUGUGAAUUUACUGUAUCCUCUAGAAUCUGUUCUGUGAAUAAAUAGAGGCUUGCAGAAUGCUGAGUUGACAACUUUAACUAUAAACAGGCAAACCACAGUUUUUCUCAGUAGGAAUUUUAUUCCCCCCAUACACACCCCAAUGUCUCCCCCUCCAAAAAAUAUAUCUUUAUGUAUGUAUAUAUAUUAUUACACUGGUGGUUGUCCUGUAGUAUUACUACUAAGACUGUCGUAACUAACUUUCAGAAAACUGGCUAAUUUAAUUUUGAGCUUUGUCCAAUUCCUAUAAUCAGCAGAUGUAAUCUUUCAGUAAAAAUAUCUCAAAUAAUAAGUACAUUUCCUUUUUUGCAUUGUAUUUAAUCUUACUUUCCCAUUGCUUGUUAGCUGAGAGGAAGGACUUGAAUGUGUUUGAGAGCCCAUGAAUGUGUUAAGAGCCAUCAAAAUAGCUCUGAAAAAGUAAAUAGUUUACUAGUGGUAUAAAUCUGGCAAUAUAUUAUUACCUUUGCAUCUCAGCCACAGACAAAAAUAUUUUUGGACAUUGGUCUUGAGUCAAAAUGGUAGUUUUUAUACUAUGGACUGUGUAAAUUGAGUUUAUCUGAAACCUUAAUAAAGUGUUACUUAAAUUGCAUGGUUUUACUCAAAUUAGCCUAAAAUAUUGCUGAAGCAUAUAUGCUUAUUAUUUGUUUUGGAAAAUAAAAAAUAUAUA